AUUGAACGCUGGCGGCAGGCCUAACACAUGCAAGUCGAGCGGAGCGGCGGACGGGUGAGGAAUGCCUAGGAAUCUGCCUGGUCGUGGGGGAUAACGUCCGGAAACGGGCGCUAAUACCGCAUACUAUCAGAAUAGCCUAGGUCGGAUUAGCUAGGUGGUGGGGUAAGGGCCUACCAAGGCGACGAGCCGUAACUGGUCUGAGAGGAUGAUCAGUCACACUGGAACUGAGACACGGCCCAGACUCCUACGGGAGGCAGCAGUGGGGAAUAUUGCACAAUGGGCGAAAGCCUGAUGCAGCCAUGCCGCGUGUGUGAAGAAGGUCUUCGGAUUGUAAAGCACUUUAAGUUGGGAGGCGUUACCAACAGAAGAAGCACCGGCUAACUCCGUGCCAGCAGCCGCGGUAAUAC
rnacentral:rRNA from 1 species